GACGAACGCUGGCGGCGUGCUUAACACAUGCAAGUCGAACGGAAAGGCCCUGCUUUUGUGGGGUGCUCGAGUGGCGAACGGGUGAGUAACACGUGAGUAACCUGCCCUUGACUUUGGGAUAACUUCAGGAAACUGGGGCUAAUACCGGAUAGGAGCUCCUGCUGCAUGGUGGGGGUGGGAAAGUUUCGGCGGUUGGGGAUGGACUCGCGGCUUAUCAGCUUGUUGGUGGGGUAGUGGCUUACCAAGGCUUUGACGGGUAGCCGGCCUGAGAGGGUGACCGGCCACAUUGGGACUGAGAUACGGCCCAGACUCCUACGGGAGGCAGCAGUGGGGAAUAGUGCACAAUGGGCGGAAGCCUGAUGCAGCAACGCCGCGUGCGGGAUGACGGCCUUCGGGUUGUAAACCGCUUUCGCCUGUGACGAAGCGUGAGUGACGGUAAUGGGUAAAGAAGCACCGGCUAACUACGUG
rnacentral:rRNA from 1 species